rnacentral:rRNA from 1 species
GCCAGACUCCUACGGGAGGCAGCAGUGGGGAAUAUUGGGCAAUGGGCGCAAGCCUGACCCAGCAACGCCGCGUGAAGGAAGAAGGCUUUCGGGUUGUAAACUUCUUUUAAGAGGGACGAAACAAAUGACGGUACCUCUUGAAUAAGCCACGGCUAACUACGUGCCAGCAGCCGCGGUAAUACGUAGGUGGCAAGCGUUAUCCGGAUUUAUUGGGUGUAGAGGGCGUGUAGGCGGGAAAGCAAGUCAGAUGGGAAAACUAUGGGCUCAACCCAUAGCCUGCAUUUGAAACUGUUGGUCUUGAGUAUCGGAGAGGCAGGCGGAAUUCCUAGUGUAGCGGUGAAAUGCGUAGAUAUUAGGAGGAACCCCAGUGGCGAAGGCGGCCUGCUGGACGACAACUGACGGUGAGGCGCGAAAGCGUGGGGAGCAAACAGGAUUAGAUACCCGCGUAU